GCACUGCUGAGGAGUCCCAUACUAGGACGAAACGGCUAACUGUCCAGUGC
rnacentral:hammerhead_ribozyme from 1 species